rnacentral:lncRNA from 1 species
UGGGAGAAAAAUCAGGACGGAAAGGCCCAGCCCCUCGCCAUGCAGACGGGAAGCUCGGCCUGCACAUGUGAGGACCCUUACGCCCCUUGGGGCUUCACCCCCUUUGCUGGCUCCAAUAGUCUGGGUCGGGGCCUCCUUGUCCUGUGGGGGCCUCUGGGCCACAAGAACACAGGCCCGAGCCCCGGCGAGCUCGCGGGCCUCCCACCAGCCGUGCUCAGGCUGCACUUCUGCACCCCAGCCCUGCACCUGCGGGACCACCUGGGUCACUUUUCCAUUCUGAUAAAGUCCCCGUACUUCGUGGCUGCAGGCUCCUCAAGCCCCAGGUCUGUGCAGGGAUGAGCAAAACAGCAGAAUAUCCGCGCUACAUCUUUCUGGAGCACCCAUUUUACUACCAGAUUUGGAAGGAACAAAGUUAAGUAAUUUCCAGGAUAAGUAA